UUCUAGCCACUAGCAGUCACCAGUUUCUCUUCACUGACCAAUGACAAGCAAAGAAAACAGUGUCCCCCCUCCUACAACCACGAUGGCUGCAGA